rnacentral:lncRNA from 1 species
AAAAAGUCAAGAGCAUUCACUUAGGGUGAGUAAGAAAUAAGUUGGGGAGAACGAAAAAGAGAAUCGGUAAGUGCAACAACUCUUGAAAAACCGAGCAAGCAUUGAAAAUAAAAAAAAAUAAAAAUAUAGAAAAGAGAAACAUUUGUUUUGUAAAUAUGAUGUGAAAGAAAAGAAAAAAUAGAAAAAAUGAAAAUGAAUGCUUGCUUGGAAGAAAAAUAGUGAAAAACAAAAAUUGAGUUGUGAAAUAAGAGUUGUGAAGGUUUCAAAUGAGAAACAAAUGGAACGAAGUUGAGAUGUGUGAAUAAUGUACAGUGAAUGUCUCUUUUGCAUCGGCAAUUUCGUUUUCAAUGGCCUUAGAAAUGACCCUUGUUUGUAAACCUAACCAAGCUACAACCGGAAAAGUCCUUAGUGAUCUUCUCGCUUCCGCAUUUCCAUUUAUAAUUGUUAGACAUUGUAUGAAUUGAAUUGAUUUCUUCAUUGUUUGUUGGAGAGAGAGAUUGUCC